UUUUUUUAUGGAGAGUUUGAUCCUGGCUCAGGACGAACGCUGGCGGCGUGCUUAACACAUGCAAGUCGAACGGAAAGGCCUAGCUUGCUAGGUACUCGAGUGGCGAACGGGUGAGUAACACGUGGGUG
rnacentral:rRNA from 2 species